rnacentral:lncRNA from 1 species
GUCCCUUUCUCUAAAAGCACUGGGGAUCAAGAAGGAAGAAGACAGAAGAGGGGGGAACAGCAAAAUCCUGAGGAGGCCAUUCCUUUCACCUCACCCGGCUUGCCCCCGAGUAGCGCUGGUGACGACAAACUUUGCCAAACUGACUCCCAGCUCUCCUCCACCGCGUCUUGGUGACUGUAGCUUCACCCCUGCCCUUUCUCCUAAUAAGACCCACUUUUCUGAGGAGAAAACACCACCACCAACAGUAUUCUCUUCUGUACAACUGUGAUGUAUUGAUGUUUGUAACAUAUCUGUCUUGUUCCAAGUCACGGCUGGAGUGUCUCGUCCACGGACAAGGGUUUGAAAUUUAAACUUCACCAUGGACAAGGGUCACUAGAGCCAGGUCUCCCUCUUUCUCCCCCUUCCUCUCUUCCCUCCCCUCCAUGCCCCCCUUUCCUUAUUUCUCUGCCAGCUAGUCUCAAGUAACACAACCCCAGGCUUCAGCCUCCAUUUAGGUAACUUUGAAUCCAAUGAGAUUGAAGUGACAUGCCUCCAGGGCAUGAUCCUUUGGGAAAGGGCUUUUCCAGUGACGAGAGGAAGAAGGGGUCACCUCUGGAUCCCCUGCAGCCCUGAGCUCAGUUUCCUGUUUCUGGUUUCUCCCGGCUUAUAUGACAGCAUGCAAAUGCUUUCCCUCAGCCAGGGGGACCCAAACCAGCCUGGCUCCGCCCCCAAAAUAACAGUUACCUCUGCAUUUUCUGUUGCCAUGUUUCUGGCUCUAGAAGUAUCUGAUGCAGGGCUGUAUUGUAGGAUAUCCAUGUAUCUCAGAGUAGUCUAUUUUUUAUCUGUUGGGAUAAAAAGUAUGUAGGCAUAUGUGUGUUUUUAGCAAAUUUGUAAUAGAGAUAUUAAGUCUCAUGGCUUCUUUUGUAAUAUAGAAUAACAUUUUAGGAGUUUUAUGGUUGGUCAUUCUCAUAGCUGAUAUUUUCUGGUCUCUCUCAUUUCCUCCCAUCACCCCUUGGGCUUUCUUCCUUUUGAUUCUGACUUUCUGAGGAUGGGGAAGACAUUGGAUUCUGACUUCCUCAUGCAGGCAUUUCCUGACACUUGGCCUCGAAUCUGUGGACACUGUUACUAUCCUCGUUCUGUCUGUGUGUUUCUCCUAUUUAUUGUUCUUAAGAAUCCAGGGCACAGAUGCAGGAGUGAGACCAGGGGAAGCAGGGCUACGGAUGGCCCUCAAAAUCAGGAUGGAAUGUGGGCUGGUUCAGCUCCUUCUCCCCCACCCUGCUGGCAUUUUGAAGAGACUGAAUUUUCUCAUCCCCAGAGAUCUUGGGACUGAAAAUCUCACGCAAGCAAACUUCCCCCUGAGGUCCAGAACACACCCAAGCCCCUCUUGGCUGGCCUGUUGCCAUCUCCAGUCCCCCGCUCCCCUGUAACAUCAAUUGGAUCCGAAGGCCAGAGCAUUUUCAGGUUCUUACAAACCUCAGAGAACAUGCUGGGCCUCAGAUCUCAUCAACUUCUUAUCAGUUCCUCAUUUUAAUCCAUUUCCAACAUCCUCACCAAAAAAACAAACAAACAAAUAAUAGACAAGCUUACAGCCAAACCCUGAGAAGACAUGUCCCCCAGAAUCUGCCAUUUCAUCUCCCCUUCCCUUCCCAGCUGCCUGGCUCCAUAGCACCAGAGACUUGUGGCAAGGGCAGUGGUGUCUUUCCAGCUUCCACCUAUCCGGGCCCUGAGGAGUUUCUGUACUGUCUUAAUUCCACCUGGCAGCUUCCAGCCUCAGGUGGGCAGAGGACAUCUCAUGAAGCAGGAUCUUCAGCAGAAAGCAAUUCUCCACUCUUCAACUCAUGCAGGAAGAUGAAGAAAGGCCAGAUGAUCUCCAACUUGCAUUCAUUUAGGUGUUCAUACCCCCAUCUGCCUCACUAUCAGCUUCAGGACUCUGGCCUCUGCCCAGAUCAGAGUUCUGAGCUGAAUCCAGGCCCCCAUGGCAAUGAACCAUCCCCUUGGAUAAACUCCAAGAGGAAACGAAUCCAAGGACAAAUGUAGAGUUUUCCCACCUCCAAAAUUCCUGGUAAUCUGGUUUGAACCAGAGCCCAAUAAAAUAGACUAAAUUUUUAAAAACUUUUGCACAGGAAGAAAAUAAAAUUGUCUCUCAGUAGUUCACUAGGUUUGAUGCCCAGAUAAGCAAAUACUCUAUCCUGUGGCUGUUUUCAUCUAGAGAGAUAUUGGGAAGUUUGGGUUUCUAUCUACUGCCCCUGGUUUUCUUAACCUGGAAUUUCUCCUGAACAUCCCCAAAUGCCAGCCUGAAGAAGUGGAUUCGGAAGAGGCUCUGGUUAAUCCAGUGGUCCCUCAUCUUUUUCCCCUCACAAUUGUGACUGUUCAUUCCUCUCUGCAAAGAUCCUGAAAAGAUCCAAGGGCUGGCUAGGAUAGGGGAAGGGGGGGCAGUUCUCCCGAAGAAGAAACCAUCUGCCUGGAGGAGGGCUGCAAGCGAGCGAGUCUCCGAAAGCCACUGUUGUGUGAGAGAACGAAGUGGUCAGUUUCAGCUGGGAUUAAGGAGGUGCUUCUCAGGGGCAGGGCUGCCUCACCAUGGAAGUCGGUGCUGUGUUGGGGCAUGAGCUGCUUAAAAAGAAGCUAGAUGAUGCACAAAAUGGAUGUUGCAGAGGGCCCUCACAUUGCAUGGCAACUGGACUGAACAACCAGGGAAAUUCAUCCCCCUCCCCCAGGGAGGUCUGUAUGUGAUUUGGACAUCUGGGUGCAGGCUCAAGGCAUCAGGCAAAAGGAGGGAGUACAGUUAGCAGAAACUCAAAUUCUAGGAUCUGGAGUUCUCUGCAAGAGUGCCGGGGAAGGAAGUGGCAGCAGGAUACCCUGCUUCCCUGCUGCUUCCUAUCUUGGGCAAUUUUAAUGACCCUGCCAGUCAUUCAUCUAACCCAUCCCCAGUGCCCUAACAGGAACCACACUGGGUAGGAUGAGGCUUAAUGCUACCUUCCCAGACCAGCCAAGAAAUCGUCCCAUCUCUGGCUGGCCAUCUCAUGGUGCUUCAGCUCUUCUGCCCAGACCCUGUGCCCUCACAGGCCUGAGGCUUUUUGUACAAGAGAUGCAAUUAUCUUUUAUCCACUAGCCAGCGGUCUAACUGCCCAGGCAAUAGCAAAUGGCACCACUCCAAAAGGGCUUUUUUUUUUUUUUUUCUGGCAAAUAAAACAGAAAAUCCCAUUCAAGACAUUUGAAAUUCCCCACCCAAUGAAGCAAGUCCAGAAGGACCAAAAGAGAGAGGCAGCUGUAAUCCAAUUUUGCAGCAAAACAAGGCUUCAGCUGCCAGUCUCCCACAUCUGUAGCCCCUUCCCGAGUGAAUCUGGAUACUGCAUUCUCCAAGGAGAGUAUUUUAUACAAGAGGUGGUUUGGAGGAGGCGAGGCUUCCCUCCCCCUAAUUGUGUAUUGUGGGCUUGGAGGAGGUGAGGCUUUGUCCUCAGGGUGACCCCAAGUCCAGGCUGUUGUAGGUGGUUUUAUCAUGAAGUGAGGCAAGACAAUAGGGUGGCAUGAACUGACUGAGCAGAUACUCUCUCCCAAAACAAAAUGAAACAAAAACCCAGUUCCCAAGAUCCCCCUUUGAGGCUCUGUCCUACAGAAAUAUGUCACAUUGGUGGCUACAAUGGCAUGACAAUUCUGGAAAACGAAGGAGACUCCCAAUUCUGUCUCAAGAUGCUCUCAAGGGUCCUACACAGAUCAUCCCACACUUCUUGCCUCCCUGAGCUAAUCCAGGUUUGGAAAACACAGAAGGAAGCACAUGAGAAGAUGCCUAAGAGAUUCAGAUUUCUCCACGGCUUUGGCUUAUGGCCCCCUGAUCUUCACUAGGGUUUUGGGCUCUCUCCGAUAGGCCUGACAUCGAAGCUCCAUGUGCCUAAUGGACAGGAAAGAAGAAGGUCAGCAGCUGCUGGGCUGGGGGCAGCUGACCUGUUUGCUCUCCAGACCUACCCUGGCUUCAGUCCCAGGCCAAGGGCUGGCAACGUCAUUUUCUGUGCCAGGAACUCAGGGUUGUCCCCCAGUGUAAGCCUGUGGCACAUAGUAGACACCCAACCAGUACUCUUUUGAGUGAGAGAAUGUGUAAACGAUUGACUUCUGAGUGAGUAAAUACAGGAAUUCAUUGGUUCUUGCCUGGCUUGACGAUAUUGCUAACUGGGAAAGAAGGAGAUGCCCGCCCCCCUGUAAACCGCACCAAUUAAAGCCUGUAAGCCCCACCAAUGCCAUUUGCCCCUUGACUCAGUUGGGGGCAAGUGAAUGUCCAAAUUUGACAUUCGUCUGCCCUAAGGGCCACAGUCUUCUCAGAGCUACGCUUCCAGGGGCCCCACAGGGCA